AGCUCGGUGGUGUAGUAGUCUAACACACAGCGCCCCGGAUAAGCCUGAGACGCGAGUUCGAAUCCCGCCUGAGUCG
rnacentral:tRNA from 1 species